rnacentral:lncRNA from 1 species
GCCCCACACAUUGACCCACUUAUGGGGCAGCCCCACAUAUUGACCCAUAUUGACCCACAUAUGGGUCUCAGCCCCACACAUUGCCCCAUAUAUGGGUCUCUGCCCCACACAUCCACCCCCCAGCCCCACAUAUUGACCCACUUAUGGGGCAGCCCCACAUAUUGACCCACAUUGACCCACAUAUGGGUCUCAGCCCCCCUCCCCGCCCCACAUAUCACCCCCAGCCCCACAUAUGGGUCUCUGCCCCACACAUUGCCCCACAUAUGGGGCUACUAACCCACAUAUCACCCCCAGCCCCACACAUUGCCCCACACAUUGACCCACUUACGGGGCAGCCCCACACAUUGCCCCAUAUAUGGGUCUCUGUCCCCCUCCCCACCCCACAUAUGGGUCUCAGCCCCACAUAUUGACCCACAUAACACCCCCAACCCCACUUAGGGGUCUCUGCCCCACACACUGACCCACACAUUGCCCCAUAUAUCACCCCCAACCCCACAUAUGGGUCUCUGCCCCCCUCCCCGCCCCACAUAUCACCCCCAGCCCCACAUAUGGGUCUCAGCCCCACACACUGCCCCACAUAUCACCCCCAGCCCCAUAUAUACCCCCAGCCCCACACAUUGCCCCACAUAUCACCCCCAACCCCACAUAUGGGUCUCAGCCCCACACACUGCCCCACAUAUGGGUCUCAGCCCCACAUAUGGACCCACACAUUGCCCCACAUAUCACCCCCAGCCCCACAUAUGGGUCUCUGCCCCACAUAUGGGUCUCUGCCCCACAUAUUGACCCACAUAUGGGGCUACUAACCCACAUAUCACCCCCAGCCCCACACAUUGACCCACACAUUGACCCACUUAUGGGGCAGCCCCACAUAUUGACCCACAUUGACCCACAUAUGGGUCUCAGCCCCACAUUGACCCACUUAUGGGGCAGCCCCACACUUAUGGGUCCCAUUGCCCCCUUACCCACCUCAUUUGUUCCCUGUUCUCCCUCUUCCUCUUCACAUUUUCCUCCUGUUUCCUUUUUCUCUCCUCUUUUUCUUUCAGUUUCUUUUCCCUUUUUUCCAGCAGUUCCCGAAGCUCCGACUCCGACUUGUGAACUAUGGGGGGAAAUGGGGCUUGUUAUCGACCUGCCAGGACCCGAACAGCCAUUCCAAGGCUCUUUAUGGACCUGCCAGGACCCGAACAGCCAUUCCAAGGCUCUUUAUGAACCUUCCAGGACCUUCCCAACCCAUUCAAUGCCCCUUUCCCCUUCCAGGACCUGUCCUUACCAUAGCAGUGAUACAGGACCCCACCCCCAUCCCAGUGACCUUCCAGUGGUCCAUAAAGAGCAUUGGAAUGGUUGGAAGGUCCUGGAAGGGCAAAAGAAUGAGGGGUUGGGAAGGUCCUGGAAGGUUAAAGAGCCUUGGAAUGGCUGGGUGGUUGGAAGGUCUGGAAGCUUAAAGGGUCCUUGGGGUUAUUGGGGUGGGUUGGGAAGGUCCUGA